rnacentral:misc_RNA from 1 species
GUCUUCCUUCUGUCUUGAUUGCUGCUUGUAUUUGCAAAUUAGACUGUUUUUUAGUUGCUGUUCUGCCUUUCUAAUCUGUGGCUGGGUUUGUUGUUUUGGCUUGUUUACUUAUUUUCUGAGUGCUGCAUGGGCCAAUAGUUUCUUAGAAUAUAGGUCUUUGUGGCUUUUGAUAAUUGAAGUUUGUUGAUAUUCCAGUCAUAUGAUCACUAGGAAUUAUUAGCAUCCUGACCUGAUCUGACCUUUGCAAGAACAACAAAGGCGAUUUUCAGUAGGUUUAGUUGUAGAACCGGCCUUGGCAAGAACAACAAAUGUGAUUUUGUGGACCUAAUGUUAAACAUUAAAGAUUGGUGGAACCUAAAUCAAGUUUUGUGACUAUCAGAAUAUGCUAGGGAAUAUGAAUUCCUAACCUGACCCCUCACUGUGUCUGUUUGAUGGAUUUUGCGCAUUUUUGCACCUUGCCUCACUCAGGCCUAACCUCCAUGUCCCCUAGACACCUUAGUGCGCCUUGCACCUUCAAUAACUAUGCUCAACAACACUAUUGGCCUAUUGCUAUUAUUAU